GACGAACGCUGGCGGCGUGCUUAACACAUGCAAGUCGAACGGAAAGGCCCAGCUUGCUGGGUGCUCGAGUGGCGAACGGGUGAGUAACACGUGGGUGAUCUGCCCCUAACUUCGGGAUAAGCUUGGGAAACUGGGUCUAAUACCGGAUAGGACAAUCGUUUGGUGUCGGUUGUGGAAAGUUUUUUCGGUUAGGGAUGAGCCCGCGGCCUAUCAGCUUGUUGGUGGGGUAAUGGCCUACCAAGGCGUCGACGGGUAGCCGGCCUGAGAGGGUGGACGGCCACAUUGGGACUGAGAUACGGCCCAGACUCCUACGGGAGGCAGCAGUGGGGAAUAUUGCACAAUGGGCGCAAGCCUGAUGCAGCGACGCCGCGUGGGGGAUGACGGCCUUCGGGUUGUAAACCUCUUUCGACAGGGACGAAGCUUUGGUGACGGUACCUGUAUAAGAAGCACCGGCUAACUACGUG
rnacentral:rRNA from 1 species